rnacentral:ncRNA from 1 species
UAAAAAGCAAUGAAGAGAAGCUCAUUAUUUGUUAGCGAUAAGAGAACUGUUGGUUGGUGCGAAACAGGUUGCGAUAAUUAAUGACGAUCAUCUCUGAGCUAUGUCGUUGAAAUUUUAUUAGAUGGCAUUGGGUGCACCCAUUAUAGUGUCAGCGUAUUACAAAUGUUGUACGUGAGAGAUAAUGCUAGUGAUAGCAUUAUAAAUUAAGGUGGUACCACGCAUACAGCGUCCUUUUA